GAAAGUCCUGGUGUCUUGCAUCUCUGGCAGCACAGCAGUAGCACUGGUGAGCUCUGCGGAGGGAUUGGCAGAUGUUAAAACAAGCUUGUGUUUCUGGGAUACAUUCCGGUGCAUCAAGAUGGAGAUGAGGCAAAGGAGAUGGUGCAACCAGAUAUGGAAGGAAGCUGAAUCCC